rnacentral:rRNA from 1 species
GUGCCAGCAGCUGCGGUUAAACAAAAGAUGCAAGUGAAUUAAUUUAGUAAAUGAGUUAAGUGAAAGUUAUUUAUUAAAUAGAUUUAAUUUUGGGUGAAAUCUAAUUAUUGAAUUUUAAUAUCUUAAUUUAGCUGAGGCUUGUAAAUUUUUAUAAUAAACUAGGAUUAGAUACCCUAUUAUAGAAAAUGAAUUUUUUUUAGACUAGAGUAGUAAUAGUUAUGUUCUUGAAACUUAAAAAAUUUGGCGGUAUUUUAGUCUAUUUAGAGGAACCUGUACUAUAAUCGAUAGUCCACGUUGGACCUUACUUGAUUUUGAAAUUUCAAUUUGUAUACCGUCGUUAUUUGAAGAUUUUUUUAGGAUAAUAAUUUUCAAAAUUUUAUAUAAAAAAGUAAAUCAGAUCAAGGUGCAGUUUAUGGUCAAGAAGUUAUGGGUUACAAUAGUUAUAAUUAAACGGAUUAGAUUUUGAAAAUGAUUUAUGAAGGUGGAUUUAAUAGUAAAAUUUUAAAGAUAAAAGAUUUGAUUUUAGCUCUAAAAUAUG